GUUUAUGGCCAUGCCACGCUGAAUGUGCCUGAUCUCGUCUGAUCUCAGAAGCUAAGCAGGGUCAGGCCUGGUUAGUACUUGGAUGGGAGACCACCUAGGAAUACCAGGUGCUAUAGGCG
rnacentral:rRNA from 1 species